rnacentral:lncRNA from 1 species
GAGAAAUGUGGUAUGAUUGCUGAGUCAUUUUCAAUAUUGGAUUUUUCCGUAUUACGUAUAUACUCGAAUAUGUAACUAUAGCAUAUUGCUGUCAUACACGGUGUCUCAUAUUGAAUUAUUUCUUUUGUUGUCCAGCCUUGCAGCAACCCUGAUUGUCUAUAUUUGCAUGAGAUUGGUUCACAAGAGGAUAGUUUUACUAAGGACGAAAUAAUAUCCGCUUACACAAGGUGUUUUCAUAUUGUUAUGCACCCAGUUAUAUAUUUUCAUUUUCAUUAUAUGCUUUUGGAUCUAUGGUGAAAGUAGUAAAUUUUUCAUGUGGACCUUUUAGUCUUGUUUACUUAGAAUGCAAUCGCCGAUGUUUUUGGUAUCUGCCCAUCCCUUCGGGCCAACCUUUUAAGUCUUUAUUCAUCAUCAGCUUGUUGCAUAAUGAUCAAACAUCAUGCAAUUAUCUAUUGGUUGAUUCAUUUAUGGACUUUUUUAAGUCAUUAGUCAAUGUACAAUGAAAUAAAAUGUUGUUUGGUACGUGUAAUGUUUGAAAUUUCAUUGAUCAUCAAUUCAAGGUUUGAGAUGCCUCUAUGAGUCUCAAAUGAGAAUGUCAUGAUUGUCAUCUCAACAUUUAUAGAGUAACAAUUGAAGUUCUAAGUGGCACCUGUUUUUCCUGGCAAAGACUGAAUUAGUACAGUAUAUUUUUAUUAUUUUUGCCCUGGGUUACAUGUUGACUGAAGACUCCAUUUCCUAUGCAGUUUUCUUGAAACCCCAAUUACAAUGUUUUUUCUUGGAGCUUAUCUUGAGUCGAAAACUUGAUUUUUGUUUAUGGAUGAAAAUUGUGGUUUUGCCCUCUCAAUUGGUAGUUUCUUAAUUUGUUGAGGAGUUUUGUUUUGUUAAUCUAAAUUUGGAGUUUAAUAUGUGUGCGCGCCGGUGCGCAUGCGCUCAAGUUUGUAUGUUUUAGGGGUGAGGGGGCGGGGAUAUUUUUAUUAUUUUUAUAUGCAAGAGUAUUUGGAAAAGAUGCAUUCUUACAUAUCAGUUUUUGUUCCUUUUUCUCCUAGCUAAUUUUCUUGUUUUUGUGGUGUUCUGUAUCUCCAAUUAUAUCAUGUUCAGCUUUUUGUUGGAUUUUUUUAUUGGUUCUUCUGGAUAACUUAGCUAAUGAUUUUAAAGGAGUAGAGUUCAACAAAUUAUUGGUGCAACAAAUAGUGUGCAACGGCAUUCAGGAAGUGCGUUACCACCCCCAGCAGAUGACUACUGCAGUGGCAGCUACGUUUCUUCCGGGAAGCCUUUAAGUAAAACUGCUACAUAUACAAAUGUAAGAUUCUCAUUUUUUACCAAACUAUCUGACUUUUUACAAACUUUGACGCUGUGAAGAGUCUUCAAAAUACAUUCUGGAAAUAUUUCAGUUGUCGUUUGUUGUACAAACAUAUGCACAUCUAUUAUAUGGUACUGUUCUGUGGAAUUUUAGUUUGUAUUUCUUGUGGAAAUGGUGAUCUAAGCAUUGAUUGCUGCUGAAAUAUCCAGAUUUUUUUCCCUGCUAACAAAAAUUUUCUUCCUGAACAGAAUUCGGUGAAUGAUGCUAGAGUUUCUCCACCAAAUAGCAGCUCUGGUAGAUCUGCUGCUCUACCUAGUGGAGCCUCAUGGUAUGUCAAUUACUGAUCUGUAGUCUCUUUCAAUUUGUAUAUGAUGCUGUUUCUCAGCAUUCAAUUGUCUUCACUAGGGGGGCUCGUGCUUCCAGUAAUCAACACUUAUCCAAAAGUGUGCCAUGUUCCGAUGGACUACAUAAGCAGAAACUUGAUGCCUGCGAUGGUUCGGGGACAUUUUAUACGGCACUUGCUAGCUCUAGUCAGGUUUCUUUGUUGCAUAGUGACACUGAAAAGAAACUGGUUCCUAGUGAAGAAAGCAACACAAGUCGAGACAAAAGCAAACUGGAAACUGUAGAACCUGUGGAAAAGGAUUCGAGCACAGAUGGCAGAACUAUUUUGAACAGUUCCUCCACGUCUGUACUUUCUGUUACUUCACCUAUAAACAGGCAAAAUGGUCAACCUACAUCUAAGGACCAGGGUAGAGAUGCCAUCAUGCCACCUGGUGCCAAUGACUCAAUUGAUCAAUCCCUAAAGUCUCGUGGAUCUGAUUCAGACGAAGAUACCAACAUAUCUGCGGAUGGAAAAAUUGAAAAUAUAUGCUCUGAAAUUUGUUCAAUGAGCAUUGAUGGACAUCAGCAGUUGCAGAAUGGCUAUGCUGAGCACAUUGGAGAAACGUUGACAUCUCAAACUUCUGGGAAAUCUGCAUUACCGAUUGUUGAGGUUUAUGCCUCAAGUAGUCAGUCUCAGAUGAAAUUGGAAAUGCAGACGCACGCCUCGCAAGUUGACUCGCUUGAAAUGGAAGAUAAUCUAUUAUCUUUUGAAAAACAAAGACUUAAGGAUCCUGAGUUUUCUUCUAACAGAGUCUGUAGACUAGAUUUUUCUCACUCUUUUCAUCUUUCACAGUAUUCUAAUAUUGAUUCUCCACCGCAUGAUAGUGCUGAUGCUUCAGUCGGAGUCAAUGUGGAUAGGCAAAUUGUAUAUUCAAAAGACAAUUUGAUACUUUCAGCUUCUAGUAAUCCUGUUAUGUCAAAUGGACAUCACAAGAAUGAACUCAGUAGUUCUUCUGAGUUAGUGAAUGAUGGUGAAUAUACUUACUUCUUUCCAAGUAAUGAGAACGAAAGUAUACUUUUGGGAAGAUUUGAAGGUGAAGCAGCCAGUCAUAGUCAUCAUGCCACUGAUGAGGGGGAAAGCAGCAUAAUAUCAAAUAUUUUGUCCUUGGACUCUUACUCAUGGGACGAGUCAUUAACUUCACCUAAGCGCCUGUCUAAAUUGUUUCAUGAAACUGACGUACAACAAGGGUCUUUUGGAGUACCUAGUUCACGGAAAAUCCAGAAUAGCAAUCAAUCAAGGUUUUCUUUUGCUAGAGAAGAGGAACCUAUGAACCGAGCAUCGGACUAUGGACCAACUAUCAAUCAUGUCGAGCAAGCCCUUAAGGACCGCUCUUUUGGCAAUGAUUUCACCAACAUCAACAGCUUUCAUAUUGAGAAGUUAGGUUCUCACAAUAGGUUAUCUCCAUUUAAGGGCAUGGAGUCGGAUAAUUUUGCCAGCAGUCACUCUUAUAUCUCUUCUAACAAGCUUUCUGGUGAGUUGCUAUGUAUUCAUAUUAUAUACGGUGGUGUGAAGUUUAUUUUGUUGCUGAUUGUUGUUCGAAGUUUAUUCUUUUUGGACUUGCAUAUGUUUGUAACUUUCUUUAGAUUUUUAUCACAUGAGGGUACUUCAAGUUUCUUUUAAUAUAUUAGAUUUUAGUUGAUGUACCUAUCUCCAUUUCGUGUUAUCUUUUACCUGCCUGCAUUUCUUGAUGGUUUUGAUACUGAUUAGUGUAUUAUGUACUGUGAAUGGCUUUCCUUGUUUGGAAUUAGAGCUUUUAUUUUAUCAAGUUACUUUGAAGAUGCUAACUGCACACAUUUUUUUCUUAUGUAGUGUUCUAUUUUCUUCCCUCAAAAUGUUUUUUUCCUAAUGCCUUUUAACAGUUUCUAGAUCUCAAGUUUCUGCCCCUCCGGGCUUCUCGGUGCCUAGUAGGGCACCUCCCCCUGGUUUUAUUUCUCAUGAGAGGACAGAGCAGAUUUUUGACCCACCCUCUGGUCAGUUAAUUUAUGCCAAGCACUUUCUUGUUUUUGGGCUUCUAUUUCAUGUUAAAAAUCUUGUGUUUGAUUAUGAAUUAUCACUUUAUUAUGUGCUUGUGCAGGAAAUUAUAUGCCCAAUGCUUCGCUUUGGCCAAGAAAUCAGUAUCAGGCACCCCCAACUGGUGAUUCCAUUGAUAAUGGCGAACUUGAGUUUUUGGAUCCUGCGAUUUUGGCAGUUGGCAAAGGGAUGCUUCCUGGUAGACUCAACAGCUCAAGCUUGGAUACCAGAUUAAGUUAUUCUCCACAGUUUACUACACUUGAAGACAUAAGAUUCCAGUCCUUGUCACAAAGAUCAGUUCCUACGCAUCAAAACCAGAGAUAUACAGACCCGGUUGACAAUUUUUCUCCCCUUGGUGACGCUUAUGGAGUUCCCUCUAGGGUAAUGGAGCAAACCCUAGCCAACAACCUGUCCCCAUUUUCCCAGUUCACUCUCCCUCAGCCUAGAAAUGCUAUAACAUCCAAUGGACAAUGGGAUGGGUGGAAUUCGGUGCAGGGUGAGAAUAAUUUAGGUAUGGCAGAGUUACUCAGGAAUGAGAGAUUGGGAUUACCUAAGUACUACAAUGGUUAUGAAGAUUCAAAGAUCCGCAUGCUAAAUUCUGGAAAUCUAUAUAAUUGGGCAAAUGGGAUUUAAAUUUGGUUGAGGAGACUUACUUGGCACAGUUUGAACUGAUAAUACUGGUGAAAUAGGAAGAUCGUGUGUGACUUAGAGAAUGCCUGCUUUAAGGACUUCAAUGCUUGGCAAUCUGAUGACCUGAUCACUGUUAUCGACUAAACAACCUGAGGCCUUGAGCACAGAAAUGAUUGCAUUCGAAGGACAUGAGAGUGAUUCACUAGUAGUCUGAAUGGGUUGCUUUUAAGUUGGUGGAGGAUCAAGCCCUUUCAAAUAGGGAGUCCCAAACCGACAGGUAAAAUAUUGGCUCUCAUUUACAUGGUAAAUCAUGUUGAAUAGUUUAUGAGGCUGUUGUGCAUGUAUAUCGUGGGGAAAUAAUAAGUGAAGUAGAAUACUUGAAAGAAGAUUAGAGGCUAAAUGGUCACUCUUCUUUUUUGUCAAUUGAAAGAUGAAAUUAUUUUAUAUGAGAAAAGGAGGAGCAUUGAGUUUGUUGUACCAUUGUACACUUUCCACAAAGCAAACUUCUGCUGAUGGUUAUAUUAGACUUUGCAGAGAUUCCUUUAACUGAUUUUUUCCCCUUAUCCCCGUGUAUCUUUCUAGUCUUGGGAAGAUUAAAGAAUAGUUCUGAAGAAGUUAUAAACCCUGUAAUCCUAAUCCUUUUUAUACUUGAAAAACACAGAAGUAUAAUUCACCUCUCCCUUUUGCAUUACUCUUGUGGAUCUCAAUUUCCAUGAAACUUACGGAACAACAGAGUUUUGAGAUGUUAAUCCGGACAGGAAUAGGUUUUUUGGUUUGAAAUAUGUGCUCAUAUUAUUCAUUGCUUUUCUUUUUCCACCCAUUUUCAGGUAAAAGGAGCUUGAGAUUCAGGCUUAAUGUGAUGGCAGCACAAGGAAUGUUGUUCACGAUGAAAUCAGAAGGUGAUCAUUUUAUUCGUAAUGCUGAAGCUUGUUAGUUUGUUUGUGAAGUUGAGAAACUAGAGAGGUGAUUGGAAAUAUUUUCUUCAUAAUGACGAAAAUUGAUUUGUGUGGAGGCAAUUUCCGGAAAUGGAAUUAUGUUUACACAGUAUGUUUGCUUAUUUACUUGAGAAUGUACUCAAGAAAAUGAGUUUUCUUAUUUAUUUGUUUUCACAAAAAAUCAAUGAAUACGUCCUAGUGACAUGUUUUUGCCCCUCAUAUUGAAAAAUUUGUAGCUGUAUCAAUGUAUUUUUAGGAAUGCAGUAACUCUGAGUUCAUGUAAAUGGGAUAUUAUGGGACAACAAAAUGCAUAAUAUUCUACCAAAUCAAGUCCAUGUUCAGUUUAGCUAAAAUUGAGAUUUUUAGUAGAUUUUGAUAAAAGUUG